rnacentral:rRNA from 1 species
GGUUGAUCCUGCCAGUAGUCAUAUGCUUGUCUUAAAGAUUAAGCCAUGCAUGUCUAAGUGUAAGUAAUACACAGCGAAACUGCGAAUGGCUCAUUAAAUCAGUUAUAGUUUACUUGGUUGUUGCUUUUACUACUUGGAUAACCGUAGUAAUUCUAGAGCUAAUACAUGCGAAAAAUCCUGACCUCACGGAAGGGAUGCACUUAUUAGAUACCAAACUGACCGGGGCAACCCGUCGUCGGUGAUUCAUAAUAAGCAAGCUAACCGUAUGGGCUUGUCCCGACGGUAGGCCAAU